rnacentral:rRNA from 1 species
GUGAGGAAUUUUCCGCAAUGGGCGAAAGCCUGACGGAGCAAUGCCGCGUGAAGGAUGAAGGCCUAUGGGUUGUAAACUUCUUUUCUCAGAAAAGAAUUAUGACGGUAUCUGAGGAAUAAGCAUCGGCUAACUCUGUGCCAGCAGCCGCGGUAAGACAGAGGAUGCAAGCGUUAUCCGGAAUGAUUGGGCGUAAAGCGUCUGUAGGUUGUUUAAAAAGUAUUCUGUCAAAGAUUAGGGCUUAACCCUAGAUAGGCAGAAUAAACUUUUAAGCUAGAGUGUGGUAGAGGCAGAGGGAAUUCCCGGAGGAGCGGUGAAAUGCGUAGAUAUCGGGAGGAACACCAAAGGCGAAGGCACUCUGCUGGGCCAAUACUAACACUGAGAGACGAAAGCGAGGGGAGCAAAUGGGAUUAGAUACCCUAGUAGUCC